rnacentral:rRNA from 1 species
AGAGUUUGAUUCUGGCUCAGAACGAACGCUGGCGGCGUGGAUAAGACAUGCAAGUCGAACGGGAGAAUUGCUAGCUUGCUAAUAAUUCUCUAGUGGCGCACGGGUGAGUAACACGUGAGUAACCUGCCUCUUAGUGGGGGAUAGCCCUGGGAAACCGGGAUUAAUACCGCAUACGAUUGAAAGAUCAAAGCAGCAAUGCGCUAGGAGAUGGGCUCGCGGCCUAUUAGUUAGUUGGUGAGGUAACGGCUCACCAAGGCGAUGACGGGUAGCCGGUCUGAGAGGAUGUCCGGCCACACUGGAACUGAGACACGGUCCAGACACCUACGGGUGGCAGCAGUCGAGAAUCAUUCACAAUGGGGGCAACCCUGAUGGUGCGACGCCGCGUGGGGGAAUGAAGGUCUUCGGAUUGUAAACCCCUGUCAUGUGGGAGCAAAUUAAAAAGAUAGUACCACAAGAGGAAGAGACGGCUAACUCUGUGCCAGCAGCCGCGGUAAUACAGAGGUCUCAAGCGUUGUUCGGAAUCACUGGGCGUAAAGCGUGCGUAGGCUGUUUCGUAAGUCGUGUGUGAAAGGCAGGGGCUCAACCCCUGGAUUGCACAUGAUACUGCGAGACUAGAGUAAUGGAGGGGGAACCGGAAUUCUCGGUGUAGCAGUGAAAUGCGUAGAUAUCGAGAGGAACACUCGUGGCGAAGGCGGGUUCCUGGACAUUAACUGACGCUGAGGCACGAAGGCCAGGGGAGCGAAAGGGAUUAGAUACCCCUGUAGUCCUGGCAGUAAACGGUGCACGCUUGGUGUGCGGGGAAUCGACCCCCUGCGUGCCGGAGCUAACGCGUUAAGCGUGCCGCCUGGGGAGUACGGUCGCAAGAUUAAAACUCAAAGAAAUUGACGGGGACCCGCACAAGCGGUGGAGCAUGUGGCUUAAUUCGAAGCAACGCGAAGAACCUUACCAAGUCUUGACAUCCGCCUGACCGAUCCUUAACCGGAUCUUUCCUUCGGGACAGGCGAGACAGGUGGUGCAUGGUUGUCGUCAGCUCGUGUCGUGAGAUGUUGGGUUAAGU